UUAUCGAUUUUCUCUGCGUUUCGUACAGUUAAUAGAUGAGUUAUUGAAAUGUACUCCAGAAUUUUCAAGUUGCUCCAUUAUUAAUGAAUUUAUGGGAUCAUAUUUCAAACAUUUAAGAAUCUCUACAGAUACAUUUUUUGUCUAUUCCACCACAGCAUUAAAAAGAGAAAUAAAUCAGCCUGAAAGGUUCAGAAAUCCUAUUUUUAGACAAAACUUGCAGGUUGUAUUAGAAAAUCAUUCAGUUUUGCAUUAAAAAUGGAAGGAAAAAUGAAAAGGACAUGACACUAACACAAACCAAACUAAACUAUUUGCUAAAAAUUUGCACUUAAAUUAACUAUUUGAUUUGAAAAAGAUCUAAAUAAAAAAAGAGAAAAGGAUGAAAGUCAUGAUCAGAACCCCACAGCCACACUAAGAAAUUUUCCUCAUCAAUCACUUUAAUGUGGUUGCAGUUCAGUCACAAGGACAGACAUCAGCGAUGUCCUCCUCCUGUCUCAGGUGCAGCGGUGGGGCCUUUUCCUCACAGCUGUCACAUUGAGCCCUUACUGGCCCGUCUGAACACAAACUCCCUUCUACAACAGCUGGAACUGUGGAGAGCGUAAAGAAGCUCAAAAACCUUUCUUGAGGUUCCUAAAAACAUCCAUGCGGGUAAAGAACGGCGCCGUUUCCCACCACAGAGAUCGUCCUCUCCAGCUGAUCAACAUCAGACUUUCAAACACACAUCAGGGUGCCGUUACAUUUUCCAGGCAUGAACCCUUCUUCCUCUUUUAAACCAGAAACUUUCUCCUUAUUUCUGAUAGUUAGAUGCAAAUAUUCAGACAUGCAAUUAGAGGUAAAGAUGUUUAGACUCAAUUUUUUCAAAGAAAGAAUUCAUAAACAUUGUCUUUCUUGUCCAUAUUAAUGGUUUCUUACUAAAUUAUUUCCAUUGGCGGAGAGGAAAAUGAAGCGGCUGCACUACAUGGAGCCGACCACCUGGGUGCACUGAUGCACUCAUGAACACAGUUGGAGGUGUGGUGAAAACAAUCCAAGGACAUAUCUGAAGAUGUUGAGAAUCAUCAUCCGCACUCUUGAACUAUUCAUCCGUUGAUCGCAGACAUUCAUACUUUUGUGGGUUUGUAUCCAAUACAUCUUAUCAGCUGAGUUUCUUUUUUUAACUUUGCAUUCAUGCUGAUUUGACGAGCUGACUCAGUGGAUGAAUGAGGCACUACAUCAUUAACCUGACUGAAUCACAGCAUGACAUCACCGGACGGUUACCAGCAGCAACCACCACCAUGAACACCAGUGAUACCUGGGUGGAGAACACAGUCGUGGAUGCUGCUGCUCUGCAAUAAAUAUGGAGGCAGCAGGCGGCCAUCAGGUGUGCAGAAUGGCCCGCUUUUGAUUUACUACUGGGCGGCUGGUGGUGAUACAGACGGCCGCCGUCCACAGACAUUUACACACCGUCCAGUCAGAGCUGCUGCCGGCCGGCGAUCCGGGUGUCACCGUCCUGUGGAUGCCCAGUUUCAUAGUGGGGUCAUCUCCGCUUUUCACUUAACUGCCAUCACGCAAACUCAAAAUGUGCCGGGUGGCCAAUGACUGGUGCCAACUUAAAAAAAAAAAAAAA